rnacentral:lncRNA from 1 species
GAAGCUGCGAAGAUGGCGGAGUAAGGCGUGCCGCUGCAAACUGGCCUCUGGGCCGGGGGCGAGCAGCCCCCGGGAGGCCGAGUGCAUCUGUUGGACCGUGCGAGGAGAAGAAAAAAAAUAUCGGCCAGAGGAGAGGAACUAACCGAACAUUCUUCCUCCCUACCUUAUAGAGGGGAGUGGUCAUCUACACUAAAGCAAAGUGUUAGGCGCGUCCGUGCGAAGAGACCACCAAACAGGCUUUGUGUUCCUUAUCACAGGAAGAAAAUUUUCCUUGACCUUUAGGUGCUUUUAUAUUCAUCUCAAAAACAAAAUUCUGAACUCAGGACUUGGCAAAGAUGGAGUUUUGCCAUGUUGGCCAGGCUGGUCUCCAACUCCUGACCUCAGACCACCGCUGAAACUUCACUUCUACACAGAGGCUUUCUUUCCCAGAAACCCAGACCAGAUGGAGUUUCACUCUGUCGCCCAGGCUGGAGUGCAGUGGCACGAUCUCGGCUGACUGCAGCCUCUACCUGCUGGGUUCAAGCAAUUCUUCUGCCUCAGGUUCCUGAGUAGCUGGGAUUACAGGUGCGCACCACCAUGCCUGGCUAAUUUUUGUAUUUUUAGUAGAGACGAGGUUUCACCACGUUGGCGAGGCUGGUCUUGAACUCCUGACCUCAAGUGAUCCACUGCCUCGGCCUCCGAAAAUCUGGAAUUAUAGAUGUGAGCCACUGCGCCAGGCCUGUAAUUUUAUGUAUCUUUAUGUGAUUAUUUGAAUGUCCCUCUCUGACUAGAUUAUAAAUUCUAAGGAUAGUGUGUCUAUUUUUGCUUACCUUUUAUCCCCAGCACCUAGUCUAACACUUUACAAAUAUAUAUUAAAUUAAUAUUUUGAUAAGUUACUCAAAGUGCUACAUAAAACAAAAUUAUAGAAAAUAGUACUUUGGUAACUGUUUCGUUUUAUCAUUGCUUUCAUUAUUUCUCUGUUAACCUCAGUUUACAACUGAAAAAGACAAAUUGUAUAUUAUUCAGGCAAUUUAUUAAACAUUACCUAUA